rnacentral:lncRNA from 1 species
AAAACUCAUGUUUGAAGCACACAUAUACUGGAAUACAAAUGUUCUGAGAUAAGGAUCUUUUCUGAAUCUCGCAAUUUUGGUGGUGUACCCUGCAACAGCAUGUUUGUUGCUGUUUUUACUUCUGUUUAGAAGGUCAUCCAGCUAAGAGAUAGAGUUUCAGAGACGUGAAGAGUGUGAAGUGACCUGCCAUGUUUAUACCAGAUCUGCUUGAUGAAAGUCAAAUGCCUUACUAAAUUCAUAUCCCAUAUGAUAAAGCAUCAGGAAAUUUAUCUCAACAUGUGAGUGCUGAACAUGGAUUGCUGUGAAUUCCAUUUUUAUGGUUUUUUCAUCAUGAACAUUUUAGUGUGCUUCUUAGAAAAGAGCACGCAGUUCCUUUAUGGAUACGUGUGGUCCUGGCACGGAGAUUCUUGUGCCAACCUUGUGCUGACCUUUGUCCAUGACGAAGAGGAACUUCCACCAAUGUCUUCUCUCAUCCUUAUCUUCGCGACGUCCGCUCAUCUAGCUUCACUGCUUUGUAUGAACUGCUACACAACUUGUCUUACUUCACUGACGAGUUGGAUCACUUCAGUGUUCGCUUCCGCCCGCUGUGACACACCUGUAAUCAUUCACCGCGGGAUUAUGCCCAGGUACCCAACAAUUGACUUAUUUUCGUAGGUUAUCCGUUAUCUAAUAGUCUAG